rnacentral:rRNA from 1 species
CGCGGCAAUCGAGCGCAACCCUCGUCCUUAGUUGCCAUCAGGUAAUGCUGGGAACUCUAAGGAAACUGCCUGUGAUAAGCAGGAGGAAGGUGGGGACGACGUCAAGUCAUCAUGGCCCUUACGGCCUGGGCUACACACGUGCUACAAUGGUAGUGACAAUGGGCAGCAAACUCGCGAGAGUAAGCUAAUCCCCAAAAACUAUCUCAGUUCGGAUUGUACUCUGCAACUCGAGUACAUGAAGUUGGAAUCGCUAGUAAUCGUAGAUCAGCAUGCUACGGUGAAUACGUUCCCGGGUCUUGUACACACCUCCCGUUACA